GUAAAGUCAGCUAAUAAAGCUAUUGGGCCCAUACCCCAAAAAUGUUGGUAACCCCCUUCCUCUACUA
rnacentral:tRNA from 1 species